UACGAAGGGGGCUAGCGUUGCCCGGAAUCACUGGGCGUAAAGCGCACGUAGGCGGACUCUUAAGUCGGGGGUGAAAUCCUGGAGCUCAACUCCAGAACUGCCUUCGAUACUGAGAGUCUUCGAGUUCGGGAGAGGUGAGUGGAACUGCGAGUGUAGAGGUGAAAUUCGUAGAUAUUCGCAAGAACACCAGUGGCGAAGGCGGCUCACUGGCCCGAUACUGACGCUGAGGUGCGAAAGCGUGGGGAGCAAACAGG
rnacentral:rRNA from 1 species